GUCAGGAACCUCAGCCUAAAUGCAUGAGGCUUGCCGGAGAAAUCCAGUAAGCCAUUCUGACCAGCCACAGUCUUAACUGACUACAUUUCGAGAGUCACGACACCCUUAGAUGCGUGCUAGUCUUCUGCUCUGUCGCUAACAAUUAAACAGUUUUACGGUCACUGAAACAGUGUUGUUAGCUUAACAAGCUCUUGAAAUAUUGGCGAAGCAAACAUUAC
rfam:Oscillatoria nigro-viridis PCC 7112 plasmid pOSC7112.02, complete sequence.